rnacentral:rRNA from 1 species
UACGGGGGGGGCAAGCGUUGUUCGGGAUUACUGGGCGUAAAGGGCGCGUAGGCGGUUUGCUAAGUUGAAUGUGAAAACUCUGGGCUUAACCCAGAGCCUGCAUUCAAUACUGGCAGGCUAGAGUUCUGGAGGGGAUAGCGGAAUUCCUGGUGUAGCGGUGAAAUGCGUAGAUAUCAGGAGGAACACCGGUGGCGAAGGCGGCUAUCUGGACAGAGUCUGACGCUGAGGCGCGAAAGCUAGGGGAGCAAACAGG